ACGCUGACGGAAUGCUUAACACAUGCAAGUCAACUUGAAUUUGGGUUUUUAACUUAGAUUUGGGUGGCGGACGGGUGAGUAACGCGUAAAGAACUUGCCUCACAGCUAGGGACAACAUUUAGAAAUGAAUGCUAAUACCUGAUAUUAUGAUUUUAAGGCAUCUUAGAAUUAUGAAAGCUAUAAGCACUGUGAGAGAGCUUUGCGUCCCAUUAGCUAGUUGGAGAGGUAACAGCUCACCAAGGCGAUGAUGGGUAGCCGGCCUGAGAGGGUGAACGGCCACAAGGGGACUGAGACACGGCCCUUACUCCUACGGGAGGCAGCAGUGGGGAAUAUUGGACAAUGGACCGAGAGUCUGAUCCAGCAAUUCUGUGUGCACGACGAAGUUUUUCGGAAUGUAAAGUGCUUUCAGUUGGGAAGAAAAAAUGACGGUACCAACAGAAGAAGUGACGGCUAAAUACGUGCCAGCAGCCGCGGUAAUACGUAUGUCACGAGCGUUAUCCGGAUUUAUUGGGCGUAAAGCGCGUCUAGGUGGUUAUGUAAGUCUGAUGUGAAAAUGCAGGGCUCAACUCUGUAUUGCGUUGGAAACUGUAUAACUAGAGUACUGGAGAGGUAAGCGGAACUACAAGUGUAGAGGUGAAAUUCGUAGAUAUUUGUAGGAAUGCCGAUGGGGAAGCCAGCUUACUGGACAGAUACUGACGCUAAAGCGCGAAAGCGUGG
rnacentral:rRNA from 1 species